UCCUCGUUAGGCCAGUUGGUAGAGUGCUCCACUGAAAAUGGAGAGGUCCCGGGUUCCAUGCCAGGACCAGGCG
rnacentral:tRNA from 1 species